rnacentral:rRNA from 1 species
UACGUAGGGUGCGAGCGUUGUCCGGAAUUAUUGGGCGUAAAGAGCUCGUAGGCGGUUUGUCGCGUCGGCUGUGAAAACCCGGGGCUCAACCCCGGGCCUGCAGUCGAUACGGGCAAACUAGAGUGUGGUAGGGGAGACUGGAAUUCCUGGUGUAGCGGUGAAAUGCGCAGAUAUCAGGAAGAACACCCGUGGCGAAGGCGGUUCUCUGGGACGGUACUGACGCUGAGACGCGAAAGCGUGGGGAGCGAACAGG